UAUGUGAUCGUCUCUCGCAUAUCAAUAAGCGGAGGAAAAGAAACUAACAAGGAUUCCCCUAGUAACGGCGAGUGAAGCGGGAAGAGCUCAAAUUUGAAAUCUUAAAGGGUUUCCCUUUACGAAUUGUAGUUUAAAGAAGUGUUUUCUGUUGAGGUUCUGGUAAAAGUUCUUUGGAAUAGGACAUCAUAGAGGGUGAGAAUCCCGUAUUUGACCUUUACUUUCAACUUUGUGAUACACUUUCAAAGAGUCGGAUUGUUUGGGAAUGCAGUCCAAAAUGGGUGGUAAAUUUCAUCUAAAGCUAAAUAUUGGCGAGAGACCGAUAGCGAACAAGUACCGUGAGGGAAAGAUGAAAAGAACUUUGAAAAGAGAGUUAAACAGUACGUGAAAUUGUCAAAAGGGAAGCGUUUGACACCAGUGUUGUUAUUCUGAAAAUCAAUUAAAGAACUGUUUAUGCUAAGUUGUUUAGACUUUAUCAGCUAACUGUUUAGUUUUGAGCUUUUCUUUAAUGCACUUUUCAGUUAACAAGUCAACAUCAAUUUCUUUUGCUGUAAAAAAGCUUGAGGAAGGUGGCUUGAGAUUCGUCUUAAGUGUUUAUAGCCUCUUGCCUAUGCAGUCGGAGAGAUUGAGGUCUGCAGCGUAGAUCCUUCGGGGCUAAAUGCAUUUGUGCUAAGUUAUAGCAUUUUAUAGACAACUUGUUGACUAUGAUUUGUCUUGUAGCUUACUCGCUUAUGUUAUUUUACCUACGCUUAGGAUGUUGAUCUACAGAGCGAGAGU
rnacentral:rRNA from 1 species